CCUACGGGUGGCUGCAGUGGGGAAUAUUGGACAAUGGGCGAAAGCCUGAUCCAGCCAUGCCGCGUGUGUGAAGAAGGCCUUCGGGUUGUAAAGCACUUUCAGUGGGGAAGAAAGCCUUGGGGCUAAUACCCUCGAGGAAGGACAUCACCCACAGAAGAAGCACCGGCUAACUCCGUGCCAGCAGCCGCGGUAAUACGGAGGGUGCGAGCGUUAAUCGGAAUUACUGGGCGUAAAGCGCGCGUAGGCGGUCUGAUAAGCCGGUUGUGAAAGCCCCGGGCUCAACCUGGGAACGGCAUCCGGAACUGUCAGGAUAGAGUGCAGGAGAGGAAGGUAGAAUUCCCGGUGUAGCGGUGAAAUGCGUAGAGAUCGGGAGGAAUACCAGUGGCGAAGGCGGCCUUCUGGACUGACACUGACGCUGAGGUGCGAAAGCGUGGGUAGCAAACAGGAUUAGAUACCCCAGUAGUC
rnacentral:rRNA from 1 species